rnacentral:rRNA from 1 species
UACGAAGGGGGCUAGCGUUGCUCGGAAUGACUGGGCGUAAAGGGCGCGUAGGCGGUUUGUAUAGUCAGGUGUGAAAUUCCCGGGCUCAACCUGGAGACGCCACUCGAUACUGCCAUGGCUAGAGUCCGGUAGGGGACCACGGAAUUCCUGGUGUAGCGGUGAAAUGCGCAGAUAUCGGGAAGAACACCCGUGGCGAAGGCGGCUCUCUGGGACGGUACUGACGCUGAGACGCGAAAGCGUGGGGAGCGAACAGG